rnacentral:ribozyme from 1 species
AAGGCCGCCUCGCGCGGCCGCCUGCUCUCGUGGCCCGUGGUCUGCGCUGUGGGCUUCCCGAUGUGGGCGCGGGAGACCGGGCAGUGGUGGGUGCAGAGCACCGCCCGCCACAUCAG